rnacentral:rRNA from 1 species
CACAAAAUGACUCUCGGCAACGGAUAUCUCGGCUCUUGCAUCGAUGAAAGAACGCAGCGAAAUGCGAUACUUGGUGUGAAUUGCAGAAUCCCGUGAACCAUCGAGUCUUUGAACGCAAGUUGCGCCCGAAGCCAUUAGGCCGAGGGCACGCCUGCCUGGGUGUCACA